GAAUUUGCCAAUCCGCUCAGCCCGCGUGUCAAAAACCUAGCCGCCAGCCCUUCUCGUCCCCUCCUCCCCGCUUCCUUCAUCCUCUCCCAUGUCGCCGCCCUUCUUCUCCCCGCUCGCCUUGGCCGCCUCCUCUCCUCCGCCGUGUCAUCGGCCCCCUCCCUCCUCCUACCUCCUCCUCCCUCCUCUCAGUCCCAUUCCAGCCGCUGCCCAAACCCUAGCCGCCGGUUCCCUCGAUCCCCACAGUAACCGCAUCCACAACCACCCACUCCUUCUCACAGCCGCCACACCAUUCCUCCUUUCCGCCCCCUCCUCCUUCCCGGAUCCCCACCACGACGCCGACCUGCAGGAAAAGGGCGACGAAGAGUAGCAAACAAGGACAACGAGGGAGAGAAAGAAGGGAGAUAAAAAGGAGGCCGGCGGCGAGGCCCGGCGACUAGCGCCUCUCCGCCUCAAGCCCCGGCAUCACCGCCACCAGAUCCACCUUGCAACCUCUCUUCCUCCCCUGUCUGACUGCUGCAUGGUCGCGUCAGGCCCAUGCCGGCGCCGUCGCCACCGCCGCACCGCUGCCGCUGGAUGGCUCCAUCGGUCGUUCCCGCCCCAGAUGGAAAACUGAGAGAGCGACAGGAGGGAAGAAGGGGAUCGGGGGAGGGGAGAGCAUGGGAGAGAAGGCAGGGGAUAUUUUCCGCCUUAGUCGAUUCAGGAACAGCGUCGGAUGGGAGAGAGCAGGGGAGGGACAAGAGGCCAGCGGUGUGGGGUGGAGCAGCGAGGCCGAAGACGGGGCAGCGGACGCCUCACGGGGUGUAGGAGAGGUCGGCGAUAGGGAAAAGCAGCAUCUUCAUGGAUGAGAUCCUGACGGCUGAAGAUGGUGCGCACGGGAGGAGCUUGGAAGAUGUCAACAUGAGCUUCUCUCAAUCCUUCUCCCCUUCACGCCCCUUGCAAAUUUUUCUUGUUUCAGAUCAUAUGAAAGGGCGCCGCGAGGAGUGGAGGAUUGAGGUCGUGGUUGCCAGCUUCAAAUUUUGGGUCUUCGCAAGGAGUUGAAGGCUGAGGUCAUGGUUGUCAGCUUCAAUUUUUUGCUAAGCAAUUCCUCAAGAGUCUUGCCAAGAUCUGAGGAUGAAGGGAAGAAGAAGAAUUUAACUAAACAAUUGAAGAAGAUCAAGGGGCGCCGCGAGGAGUGGAGGAUCAAGGUUGUGGGUUGCCAGCUUCAAAUUUUGGUUGAGCACUUCCUCAAGAAUCUUGUUGAGGUGUCUGUUUCCCCUCUUUGUGUCAUGAAUGAUUGUGAUGGUUGCAGGGUCUUCGCAAGGAGUUGAAGGCUGAGGUCAUGGUUGCCAGCUUCAAUUUUUCGCUAAGCAAUUCCUCAAGAGUCUUGCCAAGAUCUGAGGAUGAAGGGAAGAAGAAGAAUUUAACUAAACAGUUGAAGAAGAUCAAGGACCUACUAUGAUGCAUAUUUGAAAGAGUGCAUCUAUUGUUUCAGCUGAAAAUUGAUCUCUAUUUGAAGGAGUGCAUCUAUUGUGCAUCUGCGUCAAAAGACAGUGUGCUGUCUUUUAUUCCAUGCUCCAAAUAUUUCAUGUCCAAUUCAUAGGCAUCCUUGAAUUGCUUAACGAUGAUGGCAUGUUUGGUGUUCAUAUUUUUGUCAGCCAAAUAAUAAUAGGUGCACUUGACUGUUUGAGGAAAUGCCAACUGAAAUGCCAAUUGUGGUCAGCGUGUUGUAAGUACUUUGGGAAACAAGUUCUGGCGUAAGUUUAUCUGCUUGCUCAUGCAUUUUAAUACUGGAUUGAUGUCCUGAUAAUUUGUGAAUUUCUGUGUACCAUGUGAUAAGCUGCACAUCAGGCUGCAUGACAUCUUGUUUGUUGCUUUUAGGAUGUACAUGUACCCAGGUGGAUCAAAUACAAAUACCAGUCAUAUAUUAUUAUUUUUA